rnacentral:rRNA from 1 species
CCUACGGGUGGCAGCAGUGAGGAAUAUUGGUCAAUGGACGAGAGUCUGAACCAGCCAAGCAGCGUGAAGGAUGACUGCCCUAUGGGUUGUAAACUUCUUUUAUACGGGAAUAAAGUCAGGUACGUGUGCCUUUUUGUAUGUACUUUAUGAAUAAGGAUCGGCUAACUCCGUGCCAGCAGCCGCGGUAAUACGGAGGAUCCGAGCGUUAUCCGGAUUUAUUGGGUUUAAAGGGAGCGUAGAUGGGCUGUUAAGUCAGUUGUGAAAGUUUGAGGCUCAACCGUAAAAUUGCAAUUGAUACUGGCAGCCUUGAGUGCAGUUGAGGUAGGCGGAAUGCGUGGUGUAGCGGUGAAAUGCUUAGAUAUCACGAAGAACACCGAUUGCGAAGGCAGCUUACUAAGCUGCAACUGACGUUGAUGCACGAAAGUGUGGGGAGCAAACAGGAUUAGAUACCCUGGUAGUC